AACGGUCUAUACCUGCGGUACCUGCGGAGGGAUCAUUACCGAGUUUACAACUCCCAAACCCAAUGUGAACGUUACCAAACUGUUGCCUCGGCGGGAUCUCUGCCCCGGGUGCGUCGCAGCCCCGGACCAAGGCGCCCGCCGGAGGACCAACCAAAACUCUUUUUGUAUACCCCCUCGCGGGUUUUUUAUAAUCUGAGCCUUCUCGGCGCCUCUCGUAGGCGUUUCGAAAAUGAAUCAAAA
rnacentral:misc_RNA from 1 species